rnacentral:rRNA from 1 species
GAGUCUGAUGCAGCUAUGCCGCGUGCGUGAUGAGGCCUUUGGGUUGUAAAGCUCUUUCUCACAGGAGAUGAAUGUAC